rnacentral:SRP_RNA from 1 species
GCCGGGCGUUGUGGCGGGCGCCUGUGGUCCCAGCUACUUGGGAGGCUGAGGCAGGAGACUCGUUUGAGCCCAGGGUUGGAGGUUGCUGUGAGCUGUAAUGCCACGGCACUCUACCCAGGGGGACAGCUUGAGGCUCUGUCUCAAAAAAAAGAAACUUAAUGGUGAGCAUGGGGUGGGGGAACUUCAUAAUAUUCUAAUUUUUUUUUUUUUUUGAGACAGAGUCUCACUAUGUUGUCCUCAGUAGAGUGCUGUGGUGUCAAAGCUCACAGCAACCUCAAACUCCUGGGCUUAAGUGAUGCUCUUGCCUCAG